rnacentral:rRNA from 1 species
AUUGAACGCUGGCGGCAGGCCUAACACAUGCAAGUCGAGCGGUAACAGGAAGCAGCUUGCUGCUUCGCUGACGAGUGGCGGACGGGUGAGUAAUGUCUGGGAAACUGCCUGAUGGAGGGGGAUAACUACUGGAAACGGUAGCUAAUACCGCAUAACGUCGCAAGACCAAAGAGGGGGACCUUAGGGCCUCUUGCCAUCGGAUGUGCCCAGAUGGGAUUAGCUAGUAGGUGGGGUAACGGCUCACCUAGGCGACGAUCCCUAGCUGGUCUGAGAGGAUGACCAGCCACACUGGAACUGAGACACGGUCCAGACUCCUACGGGAGGCAGCAGUGGGGAAUAUUGCACAAUGGGCGCAAGCCUGAUGCAGCCAUGCCGCGUGUAUGAAGAAGGCCUUCGGGUUGUAAAGUACUUUCAGCGGGGAGGAAGGGAGUAAAGUUAAUACCUUUGCUCAUUGACGUUACCCGCAGAAGAAGCACCGGCUAACUCCGUG